rnacentral:lncRNA from 1 species
GAAAACAAAACACCGACGUUAACGCCGUCUACAAAACCCGAAAUUCUAAAAAUCUAAUAUCUAAACCCUAAACCUCAAAUCCUAAACUCUAAAUCUUAAAUUCUAAACCCUAAUUUCUAAACCUAAAACCCAAAACUCUAAACCAUAAACCCUAAAUCCUAAACUCUAAACCUAAAAUUCUAAAUUCUAAACCUAAAACUCUAAACCAUAAACCCUAAACCAUCAAUCCUAAACUCUAAACCUUAAAUUCUAAACCCUAAACCCAAAACUCUAAACCAUAAACCCGAACCCUGAUCAAGUAAUGAGUUUAGGGAUUAAUUUAGGGUUGUGUUUUGGGUUUAGGGUUUAGGAUUUAGGAUUUAGGGUUAGAGUUUUGGGGUUUGGGUUUAGGAUUUUGAGUUUAGAAUUUAGGGUUUAGGAUUUUGGGUUUAGAGUUUAGGAUUUAGGGUAUUGGGUUUAGGAUUUGAGGUUUAGGGUUUAUGAUUUGGGGUUUAAAGUUUAGGGUUUAUAUUUUUGAUUUUUAGAGUUUUGGUUUUUACGGACAGUUUUAAUGUCGGUGUUGUUUUUCUUAGUUAUUUAUUUUUUAAUUUUAUUACUUUUUUUAAUUAAUUAUACAUGGCAUUUUGGUUGGUUAUAAAUAGUGAGGUGAAUUUAGCCAUUCACCAUAGGGGUGAACCUAAGUAUUGUUCCUUCAACUAAGUUUGCUGUAAAACCACUCUAACAAUUUGAAUAACCAUUACAAAGCGAAAAUCAGAAUAAAACGAGUAUGUUUUCCUAUUACAAAAGUUGGAAGAAAACGAAAAUAUUUCUAGAAAUUUUGAGAAAAACAACAACCCUAAAUCCUAAACUCUAAACCUAAAAUUCUAAAUUCUAAACCUAAAACUCUAAACCAUAAACCCUAAACCAUCAAUCCUAAAC